rnacentral:rRNA from 1 species
UUAAAAAGCUCGUAGGCGGAUGUUUCGAGUGUUUUGUGUGAUUUGCAUGAUGUGCCGGAAGGCGCGUUGUUUUGGCAAGUGACCCACUCGAUUGUUGAGGUGGACUCUCGUGUCAGUUAAUUCUGUCUUGCGGGAUGAUGGAAGCCUCUCUUGCACUGUGAAUAAAACGAAGCGCUCCAAGCAGUUUGGAAAGACUGAACGAUAAAGCAUGGGAUGCUGUCAGAAGAUCUUGGGAUGACGAGUUGUCGGUGAAUUGUGAUCCUAGAUAAUGAUUACAGGAGCAGUUGGGGCGAUUGGUAUUGCAGGGGUACCGGUGAAAUGGAGAUCCUUGCAAGACUGACGAAAGCGAAAGCAUUUCGCAAGGAUGUUUUCAAUGAUCAAGAACGAAAGUCAUGGGAUCGAAGAGGAUUAGAUACCCUCGUAGUCAUGACCGUAAACGAUCCUGACUAGGAAUCGGUGCGAUUGCAUAUGUCGUGCCGGCGCCUUAGGGAAACCAAAGUUAUUGAGGUCUGGGGGGAGUAUGGAUGCAAGUCUGAAACUUAAAGGAAUUGACGGAAGGGCACCACCAAGCGUGGAGCUUGCGGCUUAAUUUGACUCAACACGGGAAAACUUACGGGGAUAGGACAAUGGAAGGAUGGACAGGCUGAAGCCCUUUCCAGAUUCUUUGGUUGGUGGUGCAUGGCCGUUCUUGGUUCGUGAAUUGAUUUGUCUGGUUUAUUCCGUUAACGAACGAGACGACGUUUGGAUGAUGCGUUCAUUUUGUGGUGAUUCUUGUAAUCUGCCCGACGCUCCUUCCGAGACGUACGCUGCAAGGCGUAGGAAGUGUCGCAAUAACAGGUCUGUGAUGCCCUUAGAUACCCCCGGCCGCACGCGUGCUACAAUGGACACGUCAACAAGUUCCAGCUGUUCUGUGUGGUGUAUUAGUGUUCGCACUCGCCGCGUAUUUUUGAAGGAAUGGCUAAUCUUUGAACCGUGCCCAAGGUUGGGAUCGCGGAGUGCAAUUCUUCCGCGUGAACAAGGAAUGUUUCGUAGACGCGAGUCAUCAACUCGCAUCGAUUACGUCCCUGCCCUUUGUACACACCGCCCGUCGCACCUACCGAUGCUGCUCAUCUUGAAUUCGUGGGAUUGGUCUUGUUUCGGCGAGAUUGAGAACGCGCGUGAAAGCCGUGCAGUAGAGGAAGG